rnacentral:rRNA from 1 species
UGGGGGAUAUUGCACAAUGGGGGAAACCCUGAUGCAGCGACGCCGCGUGAGUGAAGAAGCACCUCGGUGCGUAAAGCUCCGUCAGCGGGGAAGAGGAAGGACGGUACCCGCAGGAGAAGCCCCGGCUAACUACGUGCCAGCAGCCGCGGUAAUACGUAGGGGGCAAGCGUUAUCCGGAUUUACUGGGUGUAAAGGGAGCGUAGACGGCCUUGCAAGUCCGGAGUGAAAGCCCGGGGCCCAACCCCGGGACUGCUUUGGAAACUGCCGGGCUGGAGUGCGGGAGGGGCAGGCGGAAUUCCUAGUGUAGCGGUGAAAUGCGUAGAUAUUAGGAGGAACACCGGCGGCGAAGGCGGCCUGCUGGACCGCGACUGACGUUGAGGCUCGAAGGCGUGGGGAGCAA